CCUACGGGUGGCUGCAGCGAGGGAUUUUGCGCAAUGGGCGAAAGCCUGACGCAGCAACGCCGCGUGAGGGAUGAAGGCCUUAGGGUUGUAAACCUCUUUUACAGGGGAAGAAGUUCUGACGGUACCCUGUGAAUAAGCCACGGCUAACUACGUGCCAGCAGCCGCGGUAAUACGUAGGUGGCAAGCGUUGUCCGGAUUUACUGGGCGUAAAGCGCGCGCAGGCGGCUUGUUAAGUCUGCUGUGAAACCUCCCGGCUUAACUGGGAGCAGCCAGCGGAUACUGGCAGGCUUGAGGCGGGCAGAGGAUGGUGGAAUUCCCGGUGUAGUGGUGUAAUGCGUAGAUAUCGGGAGGAACACCAGUGGCGAAGGCGGCCUUCUGGGCUCGUCCUGACGCUGAGGCGCGAAAGCGUGGGGAGCGAACCGGAUUAGAUACCCUGGUAGUC
rnacentral:rRNA from 1 species